rnacentral:lncRNA from 1 species
UUAUAGUUAUUCUAUACAAUUAUAUUACUCCUACACGAACACGACUACCACUGUCAUCUUUAAGUCCUAGUAAAGAUUCGUCUCCUUAGCUCCCCCCUCUCUCUCUUUGCAACUCAAAUGUUACUUAAUUUGGGAAGAGCCACAGCACCUCCAAACUUCCCUUUGCGAACGCUUCUGAUAAACGGAUCAAUUUGGACAUUCAUUACUGCUCUAUUCAUUAAUAUAUAAUGGUCACAAACAUGAUAAUACAACUUGAUAUGAAUUGUAUCCGUCUAUUUCUACUGUAUACAAAAUUGGACAAAAUUAUCUUAUAAUGAA